rnacentral:rRNA from 1 species
UACGUAGGUGGCAAGCGUUAUCCGGAAUUAUUGGGCGUAAAGAGUGAGCAGGCGGCAGAUUAAGUUUGAGGUUAAAGCGUGGGGCUCAACCCCAUAAAGCCUUGAAAACUGAUCAGCUAGAGUACGAGAGAUGUGAAGGGAACUCCAUGUGUAGCGGUGAAAUGCGUAGAUAUAUGGAAGAACACCAGUGGCGAAGGCGCUUCACAAGCUCGAAACUGACGCUCAGUCACGAAAGCGUGGGUAGCAAAUAGGAUUAGAUACCCUAGUAGUCCACGCUGUAAACUAUGAGAACUAAAUAUUGCCGCGAGGCAGUGUUGAAGCUAACGCAUUAAGUUCUCCGCCUGGGGAGUACGGUCGCAAGACUGAA